rnacentral:rRNA from 1 species
GAUGAACGCUGGCGGCGUGCCUAAUACAUGCAAGUCGAGCGAACGGACGAGAAGCUUGCUUUUCUGAUGUUAGCGGCGGACGGGUGAGUAACACGUGGAUAACCUACCUAUAAGACUGGGAUAACUUCGGGAAACCGGAGCUAAUGCCGGAUAAUAUUUUGAACCGCAUGGUUCAAAAGUGAAAGACGGUCUUGCUGUCACUUAUAGAUGGAUCCGCGCUGCAUUAGCUAGUUGGUAAGGUAACGGCUUACCAAGGCAACGAUGCAUAGCCGACCUGAAGGGUGAUUCGGCAACACUGAAACUGGGACCCGGUCCAGACUCCUCCGGAAGGCACCAGUGGGAAAUCUUCCGCAAUGGGCGAAAGCCUGCCGGAGCAACGCCGCGUGAGUGAUGAAGGUCUUCGGAUCGUAAACCUCUGUUAUUAGGAAAGAACAUAUGUGUAAGUAACUGUGCACAUCUUGCCGGUACCUAAUCAGAAAGCCACGCCUACCUCCGG